UUUAGGAGGUGUCUCCUGGCUCGGGGAGGGAGGAUUAGGAGAUGACAAUUUCUGUCUGGGUUUUGCUGCUGACUUAGCUAAGUCACCGUCUGAGAAUCCCACGUCACAGAGUUGACCUUAUGACCAACGCACAAGAUGCCCUGGGAAUCAUCUGGGCAAGUUCAGGACAUCCGGUGGGCCCCUGCUUGCCCCUCCCACUCCACCCCUCUCCUUCCUUCCUCCCUCCUUCCUCUUCCUUCUUCCAGGCCCCUUCUCCUAUCCCCCUGCACCCUGAAACAGCCCUCAGUGUCUAUGGGUUUCUCUUGUAUCUACCUCCUUGUGGUUUGUACCCACCAGCCCCCGCUCUGGCGUUGGCAGCUGCAUGGGCUGCUCCCAGGAAGGUGCCCGGAUGUUGGGGGCGCCUCUCAACUCCAAGUCUUCUCCAAGCCACCCCAGUGCCUUCAGGAAUUCCCCACGUGACGUCGUCUCAAGCCUCUUCCUCCUCUUGGCUGCUGCCUUUUGAGCUCAGGGCAGGAAGGUGACCCAAAGCUCAAGAGGGAAGGUAGCUAGCAGCCUGGGUUAAGGAAUCUCCUUCUCCCUCUGGAUUGAGAGGCAAUUAGGUCUUGCCGAAAUCCUGCGGGCUCUGUGGUAAGGGAGACUUGGAUUACAGUCCCGUCCAACAUUGGAUCACCUCACUCAAAGCGGGACAGGAGGCAGGUCAUGAAUGAAAGUGGAGUUGGCUUCAAGACCCAAGGUCCACGAGGUUCUCCCUUUACAUACGACUCUGUGCCCCAAACCUGGCCGAGGUGGUUUUGGGGCCUUCAUUCUCCUUGGAAGUAACCACAUUGCAUACAGCUUCAAAAAAUUGGAAGACCUGUUCUUGCAGUCCAGGGGACAUGGCAUGGAGGCCCCUGGCCUUCCUGAUGCCCCACCCGGGGCCUGCUCUGGUAUGUCUAUACCCUCGGAAGACUGUGGCGCCCAGAACAGCGUUCCUGCCCAGCGGGCUGAGAUGUCACGAAGCACCCAUGAUGUACAGGCGCUGUGCACAGGACCUUGGAGGACACUACCAGGGGGCCUUACAGAGGCUACUCAGAGCGACUUCCGGGGCUCUAAGAACAUCUGAAUGUAUCCAACCAUGUCGCUGGGUGAACAUUUAGUCUGUCAUAACUAACUUCUGCCGAACUCUGUGAUUACCCAUCCUCUGCCCACGGAGGGACUCAGGCUCCUUCCCAUUCUGCACGACCACAACGAAGCUGCAUCACACCCUCGGGCAGGCCCCCUGUGGGCUCCUGGCAGAGUUGAAAGGUUCCAAAGGCAAAGGCACUGGUACUUUUGGGAACGGUCUCCGUCAGAGAGUGUAAAGAAGGAUGAAGUACAACAGGCAAUUUGUGAAAGAACAAAGAAGCGAAACCGUGAGGGAACGGAGGUUGCCAUCUUUUUUACAUAAAAUGAAUAGCUAACUUUCCUGGACUGUUUACCCUGUGCCAGACACCCAUUCACCUUCUCUUACAUCAUUUUACUCCACAAUAAAUGUACGAGUCCAUUUUA